AAUCUGUUUUGAAUCUAAUUUUAUAAUUCUUUUUAACCGAAUAUAUGUUGUCACUAACCAUAAAAGCCUUUUAAUUGCGCGACUAAUGAUUUUUUUUUAAAACAUCACAACAACUUGACGAGAUUAUCAUCUUGGAGAUGUAAUACGAUUAAAAAAGAGAGAUCAAUAGAUAUUGAAGAUAACUACUUACUUUUAAAAAUAAUAAAAAAGUGAAUUCAUGGUUGUUGCUUAAAAACUUUUAUUCUUAUAAUUUAUCUCAUUAAGAAAAAAAAUUCUAAAUGUAUAUAGUUUUUAUUUGAAAGUGGUCUAUAUUUUUUUAACAAAAAACUCGCCAGACAAGAUGUUUGCAAUUCGUGCUACCUUUCAAUUAUUGAUAAUUCGUAAACUUGUUAAUAAAAAGCUGAUAGACAUCUUUUUAAUAGUUGAAUAUGUAUUCACCUAAAUGUUCAUAAACUUUUAUGAUGAAACUUCGGAAAAAAUCUCGCACAAAUGACGUAAAUUCUCACAUUAAAGUAUAAAGAAGUUUAAGCUAAUUUUGACAUGAAUCUAAAGUAAUUAUGCGGUUGACUUUGUGGUGGCAAGCAUUCUCCACAAUUGUUAUCUCCAGGUUGUGUGACGGAUAACUAAAAAAAUAUUCCUGAUUUGGAAUACAGUACAUUAAGCAAUAAUAAUAUCUUUUGAAAUAUUCUGGCUUGGAUGCUAAUCCACGGAAACUGUCGCUCUUUAACGUAGAGUAUGAAAACGAAUCUUAUUAUUAAGCGAUUUUGUAUCAAAGAUUUCUAAAUCGGUGAAAAAUUUAUUCAAAGUGGUUGCAUAUUAGAAAAAUGUUUGCGAAAAACCGAGAAAACUACGAAAUUAUACAAAGAGAUUGAGUUUAAGAAAUUUGUUUGGGAAAAACAAAAAGCCGUGUAAUCUCCAGUAUUAUUAGAAGAGAUUUGUGCGAAAAAUAUACGUUUACGAAAUGAAAAGAAAACCUCAAAAGCUACAUAAGAAGAGAUCAAGUAAAUAAUUAUGUUUGCAAAACAAAAGCCGAGCUUUUUUAAGUAAAACUUGAAAGGAUCGAACGUGGGUGAAAAAAAAAAAAAAAAAUUAUGAUAAAAUGGAAUUUAAAAAAUAUUUUAAAAUUAUGUAUGUCUAAUUAUACUUAUGUAAACAUCUUGAUUUUUUGUGUUAGCACAUAUAUCAACAUCAAAUUUAAUGUUAACAAGUAUUAACACCAAAAGCAAAAAUCAGUGGCGUAUUUAGAAAGUUUGAAAAAUUUAUGUAGAAUGGUUUUGUUACUAAAGUUGAAGAAGUGCCGUUUAAAAAUGAAAUUCGUUUGUAUACCAAAUCAAUGGCAACCUAAUUAAUGUGUACUUCCUGAGUAUAAAAAGAAGAUAGCGAGAAAGGAAAUAUUAA